AACGCGAAGAGCCUUACCUGGUCUUGACAUCCACGGAAUUUGGCAGAGAUGCCUUAGUGCCUUCGGGAACCGUGAGACAGGUGCUGCAUGGCUGUCGUCAGCUCGUGUUGUGAAAUGUUGGGUUAAGUCCCGCAACGAGCGCAACCCUUAUCCUUUGUUGCCAGCGGUCCGGCCGGGAACUCAAAGGAGACUGCCAGUGAUAAACUGGAGGAAGGUGGGGAUGACGUCAAGUCAUCAUGGCCCUUACGACCAGGGCUACACACGUGCUACAAUGGCAUAUACAAAGAGAAGCGACCUCGCGAGAGCAAGCGGACCUCAUAAAGUAUGUCGUAGUCCGGAUUGGAGUCUGCAACUCGACUCCAUGAAGUCGGAAUCGCUAGUAAUCGUGGAUCAGAUUGUAACGG
rnacentral:rRNA from 1 species